rnacentral:rRNA from 1 species
AUUGAACGCUGGCGGCAUGCCUUACACAUGCAAGUCGAACGGUAACGGGCCUUCGGGUGCCGACGAGUGGCGAACGGGUGAGUAAUGCAUCGGAACGUACCUUUCAGUGGGGGAUAACGUAGCGAAAGUUACGCUAAUACCGCAUAUUCUGUGAGCAGGAAAGCAGGGGAUCGCAAGACCUUGCGCUGAUUGAGCGGCCGAUGUCAGAUUAGCUAGUUGGUGAGGUAAAGGCUCACCAAGGCGACGAUCUGUAGCGGGUCUGAGAGGAUGAUCCGCCACACUGGAACUGAGACACGGUCCAGACUCCUACGGGAGGCAGCAGUGGGGAAUUUUGGACAAUGGGGGCAACCCUGAUCCAGCCAUGCCGCGUGAGUGAAGAAGGCCUCGGG